rnacentral:lncRNA from 11 species
GGGAAGAACAUACGAGCACACAUCAAGGGAUGUACGACAACAACCAUCAGGAGAUAAUGACUUGUACGAGCAUUUGGUUUCUACGAGGAACGGAUCACGAGUGUGCUGUUCUUGAAGAGAUAUAGUCAUUCUUUUGCUAAGUCUAUGGCAGGCUUUUUCAACAUAAGGUCGGAUCGCACGUGAUCAAUCGAGAUUUAAUUUUAAGGUUUCCUAGUUAUUAAGCACAUCAUGGUGCUGCAUAAUGUAUUAUACUAUAUGAUAACUUUUCCUUGUAGAACUUUGAAAUCGGCUUAUAGUAGUGUUAUUCUAACGUUGUAUUUUUUUAUAAAUAUUUCCUUCUUUAAGAAAACAAUUUAUAUUACUUACAGUGGCUCAUGAUAGUAUUCAGACACUUAGCAUAGAAAAUUUUUUGAAUUAUUCAAAAUAUGUUUCAGACUCGUUUCGAAUUUUCCCAAUAACAUGAUAGUCUUGUCUCAAUACAGUGCUAAUAAAAUUUAAAAAUAUUUUCCGUACUACGCAUAAUAAAUUCAUUAAAGUUCCAUUCAUAGUAAGUGUUUAAGUACUUUUAUGUUUAUUUUAUAUUCUUAAUCGUAAACGAAUAAUUACUAAAUCUUCAUUAUAUAUACGUAUAAUCGCUUUCUAAAAUUUCUUCAAAAUGUCCCUAGAUUCUUCCUGGUUAUUUUUGCUUGAGUAUACGGAGUAAUUUUGCAUAGUAUACGGAAUCCAGAAAGGAAAUAAGCUAAAUAAUAAUAAAUAAAAGAGGCUAAAGAAGGAAUUUUCCUGCUAUGCAUCGAACAUGGCUUUCUUCACUUCAGAUUCGGUAGAAAAUAGCACUUUAGUCGAUGGACUCGCAACGGCGAGUCGGAACCGGCCGGCGCCAAAAAGUCAAUUACGACAGUGCAGCGGCAAGAAUGCAGGAACAUCGGUAACGAACACGUUGAUCCGGUUCCACGGGGCAGAGGACAUACACGCUCGGCAAUUCCUAUUUAUUUUUAGCGAUUUAUUCUUUUACAACACCCCGUCGUCCUCGUAGACACCAACUCGACCAGAUGAAAUUAUAAUGCAUGCAGGCUCAGGGAAAAGAGACUGAUAAUCACGAACACAUCGGGCUGACCUAUAAAAUGGCUUUACUGGCUUCUGCCUUCCUUGUUAACCGAUUUAAGAAUAUACCGCGACCAAGAGACGCCUAUAAGAAUCGAUGAUUGUUUGCAAUUUAAACAUUUACGUAAAGCAAUUAUAUUAGGAAUAUAAUCUAAUGACCUUUAUUUCAACAGUUAUUUCUAGAUUGAAGAUCAUCGCCAGUUGUUUAGCGAAUUUAUAAUGUAAGUUUUUAAUUACGAAAUUUUAUAAGAGAGAUAGAAAGAACAAAGAGAAAGAUGUGAAGCGUCAGAAGUUUAUAGAGAAAACGGAUAAGAUAAAGAACAAGACGAGCCACUCUGUUUACAAAGUCGGAGGUGUACUAGAACGCAGAGUAGGAUGGAAAAGGGAUCGAUAGCACGAAGAACACGUGCCGUAUAACCCUAAGCAUCAGAAGUGACUAUAUUGCAGAAUUAUGUGGCUCUAUCUAGGCGCGGUUGUAAAAGGGAGUUGGAAACCUGGCGUUCAUUCGUAAUUCAAACUGUUACCGCGUGACCGACCAUGCGACAUCUAAUGGCACCACUGACGCAGAAUCGAUCUUUGACGGUUUUAAUAACGUUAGCAAACUCGACCUUUGGAAUUCUACCAAAAAUGACCAAAUGCCUUCGAAAUUGAAUAACCCUUUAGAUUAUAUUUCCUUAAUUUUAUUAACAUCAUAGUUGACUUUUAUUUAUUUUAUUUAUUUAUUUUUCCCUAGAAAUGAUUGUUGGAAAACCUAACCUAAAUAUUAUCACAAAAAUAUUAAAGGUUUAUAAUUUAUAAUUUUAAACAAAAGAAUUGUAAUGGUAGCUAAUGCUUUUCCAUAAUUUAUCUGUUUUAGAAACAAACUUAAAUGUACAUUUAAUUCGAAGUAAAAAUAUUCCGGCAGAAGAGGACUUAUUGUAUUCGCACAACGAACUGCCUCCAACUGGACCGAACUGGAACUACGCAGUAUCGUUUUUUGUUUGGCCUGGAGAUACCGAGUUCCAUGUGGAACGCUCACAGGAACUCAUGCGAGAGGAGUCGGAAAAUCUUCGGACGUCUCUUUAUGCAAAAAUAUAAAGAACACGAUGGAGGACGCAGAAAUUGGAACGCUCCGUGAUCUAGGACGCAAUUUGGCAAAUUGGACUUGCACAUACUCGCGAGAUAAAGCACAAACAUUCUAAAUAAGAAUGAAGUUAGCAGGCUGAAUAAAUGACCAAAUUUUUCACAUAAUAACCAAGCAUAUUUAUCACGAACUCAAUUUGCACAUGAAGUUUCUAUGUCCAUCCAAUUUUGUCACAUUAAUUCACUCGCAUGCUAACCAACAAGCUUAGAAGAUAAAUGAAUUUCAAAUAUGGGUCGCUUAAAAGACAGUCGUUGCAUCUUCUGAUAAACUCAUCAGCCUGAUGUAAGAGAGUAGAGCUAGAGAGUUUUUCCAAUAGGAAUACAUUACAAUUUUUCUGCUCCAAUAAGUCCAGCAGAUAAGUGAAACUACUGAGGAAUUGAAUAACUUCGUACAUGUUUUAUAAUUCUUGGAAAAAGUACGUAUACACGAAUAUAUAAAAGCACGUAAUAUACAAAUUGUUCGGUUUUAGUGAUAUAAAAUGUUUACAAGAAAUUAUUCUGAGUGAUUAAAUCAAAUAUUAUUCAGAUUAAAAGGUUUGACCUACAAAAUGAACAAUAUCGAUGAGUCCCAUAAGCAUUGGAAAGAAGUUAUCAAUCGACUUAGAAUUAACAGAAGUUAUCAAUUGACUUAGAAUUAACAGAAAGUUAGUCAUUUAACAAGACCAACAAAUAUCCAAAUCUGUUAACCGUAACCAACAAAAACCAAUUCCGUACACGAGUUACUUAAGUGAUUUUUCCUCUAGCAUAACCUUCUGUCUUGUCCUCGAGUUUCGAUAUUAUCUCGAGCUAAACGAGACAUGCAGCGCUUGAAAUCCGAUAUCGGAAAGGCCAGUAGCUAAACAAACAUAAACGUUCAGAAGAUACCAAUAUUUAUAAAGGUGAAUAAGAUUUGUAGUCUAUAAUAGAAGAUAAAAGUGCCUUUUUCAACAAAGUUGUCAACUUAAUCUUCUCUAAAUGACUUUCAUCAGAUAGACGUGAAAAACAUAAUGAAACUUCCCAACCUAUACAAAACGACUCCUUUAUCACGUAACUUCAAUGAAUAAGGGAAACUUUGAUAAAAAAAAAAUUUUUUAGUCUUUGGUUACUCUUUUACAAAGACCGUAAUUUUCAUACUUAAUUCGACUAAUUCAAUGACGUAACAAAAUUCAGGUUGCCGCCUGAAAUAGUAUCUAACUUGAUCGCAUGCAAUUCUGAUGGGAAUACACCUUCAGACCUAACACAUACAAAGAAAAUGAGCGGGUAAGAUCUUCGAAGAUGGAGCAAAUUCAUUGAUUGAAUGACAAGUACAGAACAAGAGAAAUUCUUCCGCCAUCUUUUUUCGUCUUCAAGUUUCCAUAGUAACCACAUCAGAUGAGCCCAUUAACAAUUUUCUUGGAAAAUCACUAGGGUUAUCCCUACCUAUGUUGGAACAAACUUAACACAUUCAUAAUAACAAAACAAUUUAAUCCUACAAGUGAAGUAAAAAAAAUUAAAAUUCGAAGAGGAUGAGUUUUUUGAGUUAUUUGAAAAGGUUAGUUAAACAAAAAUAAAGUAGGCUACACAGUGCUUCAUCUCGAUUCGAGCGAUUAUUUCGGGUCAGGUGUUUUCAUGGAUUUCUGUAACAAUUUCGUACAACACUGUUUUGCAUCGUGAUGUUAAAUAAUAUCAAACGAUCCAACUACGUGCUCCCUACGUGUACAUUAAAAUGCAUUUUUUUUGGCACCUAAUUACAGUCCAAAAAUUACACAUAAUUACACACCAUUGGAAUUCGUAAGGAUGCCUGUUGCGAACAAAUUUCGCCUUACACGAAUAAUAUUGUAUAGAAAGUCAACAUGCAUGAGAAUUCUAUGAUGAUUCAACGUAACUCAAAAGAAAUGUUAUUUGAAUUAUCGGUUAAUAAUUUGAUGGUAAUAUAAUGUAACUCCCCAGAACGAUUACGGGCAUUUUAAAUUAAUUGAAUAAACCUACCUAAUUCUCGACAGAUGUAAGCUACAAAGCAGCAAUGGGUACGCGAGGUCACACGACCUACCAUUUCGAUGACGAAUCGGUAAAAUUAUAAAUAAGCUACAACACUGCAUACGAAUCCGUAUACAUCAUAGUGGUAUUUGCCAGCAGCUGUAACAAAGGAAUACAAUGAUUCACGGACCACAGAAAAUUAUUUGAGAAAUAUGUUCGGUGGAGUUUGAAGUUUGCAUGCCGUUGUUACCGAUGCAUUAUCCUAUGGUACAUCUUAAAGAGUCAAAAAUAGACAGGCGCUCCCAGGGUUAGACGUAAGCAUUCUUCUCGUCUGGUUUGCAAGCAAUGGCAAAACAGAGCGGAUGAAAACAUUCACCGUGCUAGAGAAUGGAGGUUAAGUUUACAUUUCAAUAAACAAGACACGCGGACUAAGAAUAUAAACGGCCAAUCUAUAAUAAUCUGAAUAUCAAUCUUACAAAAUUGCAAAUAUAAACAUGUAAGAAUUCGAAUUUAUAUCAAAACAAAAACAAAAUCUGUUUAAUUUUGCGGUGAAAUAUAUCAUACGUAAGAAACGUUAGGCUUGCCCAUCCCAUAACACGACGCAGACAAAAUGGAAAUUAUAUUCGUAGACUCUGGUCUAAAUAUAAGUAUUCUGACGAACGCUUGAAAACUUUUCACGCGACACAUUUUCACAGCUCUGUGAACGUCUUCUUCCAGUUUAAUAAAUGAAUAUUUCAUAGAAAAAUCCUGAUAACCAUCUUUUUAUCUUCUGAAUUUCAUAUUACUUAGUAGGAACAUUCUAAUAUGACCUUGAAAGGAACAAAAUCUUCUGAAUUUCAUAUUACUUAGUAGGAACAUUCUAAUAUGACCUUGAAAGGAACAAGAUAUUAUAUAAAUUCAUCUAGUUUUAUAAAAAAGAAGAAGAAAGAUAUUCAUUUCCAAAAUCGACUGAAAAAAAAGUAUAGUCUUGAUAAAAUGAAAAACCUCACUCAUCCUGUUUUUCUCCUGUAGUUUUUAAAUAAAAUUGAAGAUUUUGGUGUUCUUUUCUUAUGAUAUAGAUGAUAAAUGUAUGAUAAAUGAAUGAAACUAUUGAUUUUGAAUAUAAAGAACGGUUAUACGUGUACUUCUUGUACACAUCGUAGUAAAAGUAGUUAUAAAAGUUAGGAAAUAAUAGCUGAAAACGUGUUCGCACGCACAAUAGCGUAUUUAUCAACGAAACUUAACUGGCCGUACUAUCAUGAUGGAAAAUCUCGCGGUUUACGUAAUUACCGGCCAAACAUUAACUUUCGUGUAACGAUCGCUAAAAGUAAGUAAAGUUUUCUGGGUGGAUUAGUAAAAUAGGGUCAAUUGUUACGCAACAAAAGUUGCUUGGCGUGGGUACUUUGCGUACGUCUCUCGGAAUGUAGCUGCAUCGAAUGCGACCGAAUCCCGGUGUCUUGCGUCGGUAUAACUAGAGGUGCGCAACUCGAAUGACCGCAAAGGUCAAAAUUUAGUCGAUACGUUACUCUACCCGAUUACCGGAUUAUAUUUCAAACUUACAUACUUAAAUUUUUGCCUCACUCUUUUAUGUGACAUAUUGA